GAUUAGUCGCAUUCAUCACUAUCAUAAUAUUUGAUUAAGAGAGUUAAACAACUGCUAUGCCAUUUGAAUGUUUAUUUGAUAACUGAAUUAAGUGAAUAAAAUUUAUUGCCUACUUAAAGAAACGGUCAUGAAUGUGUUCUCUAAUAAAGUGGCCUUUUAAAAGCAUAUCUAAGUAUAACUUAAAAAUAAUACUUUAAGAUAUGAAAUACACAACAGCUGCACAUUUAAAAAAAAAUAAGCUCACUUUUUCAGAAGCGGCAUGAGGUGUAAGUGUGAAAAGUUGCUUCAUGUGAAAUAAGCUGACAACAGUCUAUCAAGAUUAGCAGCCAGAACAUCCUCUCUAUAACUUCCCUUUAUUUCCCAUAUAAAUAUAGUAUUUGGGCAUAACAGCAGGCAGUUGUCUAUUGAUUAUUGAAGACUGUGACACAGAGAUGACAAAAUCACUUAUUUUUCUUCUGGCGACUCUUCUGUUCUGUUCAGGCAUUUCAGAUGUUCAGAUGGGAAUGUCUCAGCACUUUGACCAUCUGAAUCCUGUGAGGGAGAUGGAGUUCGGUUAUCAUGACAAAGCAACGGAGAACAAACAGUUAAUAAUUUGCAAUGUUUGUAAGAUGAUCCUUGGAAAAGUGAUAGGAUAUAUUGGAAAAACAGCUUCUAAGGAGAAGAUAAAUCAGCAGCUUGAUAAAAUCUGUGAAAAAAUAAGAAUAAGGGGUUGUAAAACUUUUGUGCAGAAAUAUAAAACAAAACUGGUCACUUAUCUGCUCUCUGGAGACAAGGCAGGGACCAUCUGUAUCAAAUUACAAUUGUGCAAACAGAUGGACAUGCAAACCUAAUGUGAAUGCUUCAAGCAUAGAAAUGCAUUGUCAUUUAUGUUAUAAUUUGUUACACAUGACAAUAAAAUUAAAGCUCAAUAA